rnacentral:lncRNA from 1 species
GCAAUGCUCUGGUGACCGAAGCGCUGCUCAACACGACAGGACCUGUGACAGCAAUGGAGGGCUUGCUGACAACAGUCACGAUGUGCUCUAGCUACGGUGUUGAUGCUGAUGGUGAUGAAGCAGCAGGUGCGGUGUCCUGGGGUUUCUGUUGCUAACUCAGCGUUGCCGCCACCCUCCUCCAUGGUCCCCUCGGCGUCCUAGAGAAUUCGGAAAGAUUUUCCAGAAUCCCCUUCCCCAUGUGGUUCCAGGGUGAAGUCUGCCAAUGCAUGAGCUACGGAAAGCAGAGGAGAGAGAAGCCGUUGUGGGCCGAUGGCAACUGGAGGUCUGCAGGAAGUUCUGGGCAACCCUCUGAGAACCGCCCCCCCCCCACUUCAGAGAUGCAGGCUGAGAUGCUCAGGGGCGGGGCGGCAGGUGGGGGGGCUUCCCAGAAGAUCGUGAGAUUCCAGCAGCUUCCAGGCAAGCUCUUAAGAUCUCGCCACUUUGGGGCAGCAGACCAAGACCGUCAGCGAUGCCUCGUUUCCCUGAUCUUUACGCGCCCAGGUCGUCCCCUGGUUGUGAAAACUCACACUUUGUGUCUUCAUACCUGUCACGGGCCCCUGGUUCUCUAACUGCAUUACCUUCAGGAUGGAUGGGUGACAGCGAUGGAUGGGCCACUGGAUGGACAGUGACAGGCCUGCUCACCGGGGUCCCAGCACACAUCUGGGUUUCACUGGGUCAACUGGAGAAGGGCCUAGGUGACUUCCACGCAAUUCGCAAUUCAGAUCCACACAUCUUUCUGCGCUGGUGUAGGUGCGAGCUGGAAACAGAGCAGAAUUCGGCUGUGUCACCCACACCCACAGAGGGGCCUCCCAAUCCCAGGCUGUGGGAAAGGAGCAGAGACCCACAAACACGUGAAGGCAGCUGCAACAAGCAUUGGAGACACCUGGGGUGA